UGGGGGAUAUUGCACAAUGGGCGAAAGCCUGAUGCAGCGACGCCGCGUGGGGGAUGAAGGCUUUCGGGUUGUAAACCUCUUUCGCUAUCGAACAAGGCCCGCUUAGGGUGGGUUGAGGGUAGGUGGAGAAGAAGCGCCGGCUAACUACGUGCCAGCAGCCGCGGUAAUACGUAGGGCGCGAGCGUUGUCCGGAAUUAUUGGGCGUAAAGGGCUUGUAGGCGGCUUGUUGCGCCUGCUGUGAAAACGCGGGGCUUAACUUCGCGCGUGCAGUGGGUACGGGCAGGCUUCAGUGUGGUAGGGGUGACUGGAAUGCCAGGUGUAGCGGUGGAAUGCGCAGAUAUCUGGAGGAACACCGAUGGCGAAGGCAGGUCACUGGGCCAUUACUGACGCUGAGGAGCGAAAGCAUGGGUAGCGAACAGG
rnacentral:rRNA from 1 species